ensembl:lncRNA
AUUGUCUCUUGACAGAGACUCCACUGUAAGGAAAUGGAUGUGCUUAAAACAAGCAAGAAAACGUUUGUCAUCCUCCUCUGUGUAUGACUUGGUCAACAUCGUAAAUACAAGCAACCCAUAUUCUUACUCCUACAUCCAUAAGGUACUUAUUUUGUCUCGUACACUGCCUUUGAGCAGUGCAGCUUGUGAGAGGGGAUUUUAUCAUUUCAAUUUAAUAAAAACAAGUAGAGAUCCUGUCCGUCACAGACUCGCCUCUCAGCCUUGAUGCCCUUUCACUUGUCAAAAAUGACCACAGAAACAUUUGACCCAAAGCCAACUGUUGACCUUUGGAUGCAAACAGCUUGUCGCAGGAUGAACCAGGGAACAGCAAGUACAUCUACAACCAUAUUUGAAACUUAAGAGGACAGUGAGAAUGGCAGCAAGGAGGACAGUGCGGGGGACAGUGAGAGGGACAGCACAUAGGCAGACCCUACCGUUAAAGGAAAUCGAGACUCAUCAGACCAGGCAACAUUCUUCCAGUCUUCAACUGUCCAAUUUUGGGGACAAUUGCCAUCCCUCCACCUGCAAACCUUACUGGGACAGGAGUCACCAUCCCCGAUGUCAUCGAUCAAGAUGCUGCUUUUCCAUUGCAUGUAAAUCUAAAAGUGCCAAUCUGGAAGAGGGCAAAAUGAUCUAAGACUAUCGACAUUCACAAGCCAGGCGUGUGAUCGAGAACUCAUUUGGUACAAUGAUCGCAAGGUGGAGAAUUCUAGGCAGGCUGUUGGAAUUCCUACCAGACAAAUGUACAGAUUUUGUGAAGGCCUGUGUUGCACUGCAUAACUAUCUCGCCUAUAAAGAUGCUGCUAACACACCUGCAACCAGGUAUAUACCACCUAAUUUCACAGACUGUUUUGAACAAUGGCGAGGCACAGCUGGGGGAGUGGAGAAGAAAGGUCACAGAUGGAGGCACCUUGGCUGAUGCAGGGAGACUCUCAAAGGACCUUCAGCAUGCACUGGGAUGGUUUGCAACCAAGUGUGAAGCGGUGGGGAUGAGAAUCAGUACCUCCAAAUCCGAGGCCAUGGUCCUCAGUCGGAAAAGGGUGGCUUGCCCACUUCAGGUUGGUGGAGAGUGCCUGCCUCAAGUGGAGGAGUUUAAGUAUCUAGGGGUCUUGUUCACGAGUGAGGGAAGGAUGGAACGGGAGAUUG